CAGAGAAACAGAUGGACUACAGUCUGUAACUGUAGAACUACAGAGUGAAACUAUAUGGUCAGUGGAGCUGAUAAGAUGGACAGUUGGUUCUAAUAUGGUGGAGUUCCUGUCUCAGACAAAAGUCAGCAGACCUGAUCCAUUAGUUUCAGCUGUAGCAGAUGAUCCGUCUUUUGCCGUCUUUAACAGACGAGCUGUGGAGCAGAGCGGACGUGUUGGAGCGGCUGACGUCUGUUUCAAGGCAUUCUUUGUACGUUGUAAUGUUGAAAUUGUAACUGGGAAUCCAGUGCUGACAAAUGUUUGUCAUUCUUAAAUGCACUGCUGGUGUUUGCAGUUAUCAGAAGUGUUAAUUGUGAUAUUUUACUGAUGUUAAUUGUAAAAUGGAUGGUAAAUAACAUUUGAAUAUGAAUAUAUAAUUAUUAUUUAUACAUUGUUUUAUAUAUGCAGUAUUUCCCAUGUUACACUCAGUGGAUUUUAUGUAAUUAAUAUGCUCUGUAUAUAAAUAUAUAAAUAAAUCACUACAUUUUGGUGGUUAAAA